rnacentral:rRNA from 1 species
GAUGAACGCUGGCGGCGUGCCUAAUACAUGCAAGUCGAACGAAACUUCUUUAUCACCGAGUGCUUGCACUCACCGAUAAAGAGUUGAGUGGCGAACGGGUGAGUAACACGUGGGCAACCUGCCCAAAAGAGGGGGAUAGCACUUGGAAACAGGUGCUAAUACCGCAUAACCAUAGUUACCGCAUGGUAACUAUGUAAAAGGUGGCUAUACUACCGCUUUUGGAUGGGCCCGCGGCGCAUUAGCUAGUUGGUAGGGUAAAGGCUUACCAAGGCAAUGAUGCGUAGCCGAAUUGAGAGGUUGAUCGGCCACAUUGGGACUGAGACACGGCCCAAACUCCUACGGGAGGCAGCAGUAGGGAAUCUUCCACAAUGGGCGAAAGCCUGAUGGAGCAACGCCGCGUGGGUGAAGAAGGUCUUCGGAUCGUAAAACCCUGUUGUUAGAGAAGAAAGUGCGUGAGAGUAACUGUUCACGUUUCGACGGUAUCUAACCGGAAAGCCACGGCUAACUACGUG